rnacentral:rRNA from 1 species
UCGAGAGGCUUUGGCAAUGGGGGAAACCCUGACCAAGCGACGCCGCGUGGGGGAUGAAGGCUCUUGGGUUGUAAACCCCUUUUGUCGGGGAAGAAAUCCGAUCAGGUGAACAAUCUGGUCGAUUGACGGUACCCGACGAAUAAGCUCCGGCUAACUCCGUGCCAGCAGCCGCGGUAACACGGGGGGAGCAAGCGUUGUUCGGAAUCACUGGGCGUAAAGGGCGUGUAGGCGGCUCGGUAAGUGGAAUGUGAAAUGCCCCGGCUCACCCGGGGACCUGCAUCCCAAACUGCCGGGCUUGAGUAUGGGAGAGGAUGAGGGAAUUCCUGGUGUAGCGGUGAAAUGCGUAGAGAUCCGGAGGAACCCCAGAGGCGAAAGCGGCGUCCUGGCUCGCAACUGACGUUCAGACACGACAGCAUGGGGAGCAAACGGGAUUAGAUACCCUUGUAGUCCCUGAGCGGGCUGGCAAGGCGCAU